UACGGAGGGUGCAAGCGUUAUCCGGAUUCACUGGGUUUAAAGGGUGCGUAGGCGGGCAGGUAAGUCAGUGGUGAAAUCUCCGGGCUUAACCCGGAAACUGCCGUUGAUACUAUCUGUCUUGAAUAUCGUGGAGGUAAGCGGAAUAUGUCAUGUAGCGGUGAAAUGCUUAGAUAUGACAUAGAACACCGAUUGCGAAGGCAGCUUACUACACGAUCAUUGACGCUGAGGGGCGAAAGCGUGGGGAGCGAACCGG
rnacentral:rRNA from 1 species